GAAAUGCGAUAAGUAAUGUGAAUUGCAGAAUUCCGUGAAUCAUCGAAUCUUUGAACGCACAUUGCGCCCUCUGGUAUUCCGGGGGGCAUGCCUAUCCGAGCGUCAUUGCGAACCCCUCAAGCACGGCUUGUGUGAUGGGCCCUCCCGCGUCUUGGUCGUCAAGACGGGCCCGAAAUGCAGUGGCGGCUUCGCGGUUAUCCGAUCAGCCAGAGCGUAUGGGGACUUUCUCUCUGUCACACGCCCGCGGCGCGGACCGACGCCUGUCGACCUUUAUUCAUCUUUUUCUCGGUUGACCUCGGAUCAGGUAGGGAUACCCGCUGAACUUAAGC
rnacentral:misc_RNA from 1 species